AACGAACGCUGGCGGCAUGCCUAACACAUGCAAGUCGAACGAUAAGCCACUUCGGUGGUGGACAGUGGCGCACGGGUGAGUAACACGUGGGGACCUGCCUGAUAGUAAGGGACAACAGUUUGAAAAGACUGCUAAUACCUUAUACGCCCUUUUGGGGAAAGAUUUAUCGCUAUCAGAUGGACCCGCGCUAGAUUAGAUAGUUGGUGAGGUAAUGGCUCACCAAGUCUACGAUCUAUAGCUGGUUUGAGAAGAUGAUCAGCCACAUUGGGACUGAGACACGGCCCAGACUCCUACGGGAGGCAGCAGUGGGGAAUAUUGUACAAUGGAGGAAACUCUGAUACAGCAAUGCCGCGUGAGUGAAGAAGGCCUUAGGGUUGUAAAACUCUUUCGCUAGGGAAGAUAAUGACGGUACCUAGUAAAGAAGUCCCGGCUAACUCCGUGCCAGCAGCCGCGGUAAUACGGAGGGGACUAGCGUUGUUCGGAAUUACUAGGCGUAAAGAGUUCGUAGGCGGAUAAGCAAGUAAGAGGUGAAAGCCCAGGGCUCAACCCUGGAACUGCCUUUUAAACUGCUUAUCUAGA
rnacentral:rRNA from 1 species